AAAACCUUACCUACCCUUGACAUGUCUAGAAGUUUCCAGAGAUGGAUUCGUGCUCGAAAGAGAACUAGAACACAGGUGCUGCAUGGCCGUCGUCAGCUCGUGUCGUGAGAUGUUGGGUUAAGUCCCGCAACGAGCGCAACCCUUAUCAUUAGUUGCUACGCAAGGGCACUCUAAUGAGACUGCCGGUGACAAACCGGAGGAAGGUGGGGAUGACGUCAGGUCAUCAUGGCCCUUAUGGGUAGGGCUACACACGUCAUACAAUGGCCGGUACAGAGGGCUGCCAACCCGCGAGGGGGAGCUAAUCUCAGAAAACCGGUCGUAGUCCGGAUCGCAGUCUGCAACUCGACUGCGUGAAGUCGGAAUCGC
rnacentral:rRNA from 1 species